rnacentral:rRNA from 1 species
UACAGAGGUCUCGAGCGUUAGGCGGAAUCACUGGGCUUAAAGCGUGUGUAGGCGGAUCGGUAAGUACCUUGUGAAAUCCCACAGCUUAACUGUGGAACUGCUUGGUAUACUGCCAGUCUUGAGCCAGCUAGGGGCUACCGGAACAAAUGGUGGAGCGGUGAAAUGCGUAGAUAUCAGGAGGAACACCGGUGGCGAAGGCGGGUCUCUGGGCCGAUACUGACGCUGAGGAGCGAAAGCGUGGGGAGCGAACAGG